UUACACAGCCAUAUCACCCUGCAGCCCAAGACCGGUUACUCACUGAAGCUAAGCAGGGCUGAGCCUGGUUAGUACCUGGAUGGGAGACCACUAGGGAACACUAGGUUGCUGUUGGAA
rfam:Danio rerio chromosome 5, GRCz11 reference primary assembly.